ensembl:snRNA U4 U4 spliceosomal RNA
AGCUUUCUGCAGUGGCAAUAACUUAACCAAUGAGGUUUGUCCCAAAUGCUAUUAUUGCUAAUUGGAAACUUUUCCAUGUGCUCUAUCAUGACAACUUGAUAUGUAGUUGGCAUUGGCAACUUUUCACAGUCUCUAUGGGA